AUAUAUCGUUUGUUUUAGUCAACAAAUGACGACAAGUUUUGUAAAUUGUGAGCCAUCGGCCCACUCGAUAUUAAUCUUAUUUUUUAUGGGGAAAGGUCCAUCACAAUAGCUUGCUAUUGGGGUCUUUGAGUGUCGCCUUGGCGUUGCACUACUGCCUUGGCCUGGCGCACCCCUU
rnacentral:snRNA from 1 species